CAGCAGCCGCGGUAAUACGUAGGGUGCGAGCGUUAAUCGGAAUUACUGGGCGUAAAGCGUGCGCAGGCGGUUAUAUAAGACAGAUGUGAAAUCCCCGGGCUUAACCUGGGAACUGCGCUUGUGACUGCACAGCUAGAGUAUGGCAGAGGGGGGUGGAAUUCCACGUGUAGCAGUGAAAUGCGUAGAGAUGUGGAGGAACACCGAUGGCGAAGGCAGCCCCCUGGGCCAAUACUGACGCUCAUGCACGAAAGCGUGGGGAGCAAACAGGAUUAGAUACCCGUGUAGUCCCUGUCUCUUAUAC
rnacentral:rRNA from 1 species